ensembl:lncRNA
CCAAGGCCCACAGCUGGAGCCGUGGCAGAUGCUGAGUGACAAUCUUCCUCUUGUGGCUGAACAGGAAUCAGUGUGCAGAUUUCAGACCUUUAUGUUUGCUCUGCAUUGAGACAUGGAUCAUCAGAACCAGAUUGGGAACAACUUUGAAGUUUUCAAAGAUAGGGCUGCUAUGUUGUCCAGGCUGGUCUCAAAUUCCUGAGCUCAAGUGAUCCUCCUGCUUCAACCUCCUGAGUAGCUGGGACUGCAGACUUGUGUCACCCUAACCCAGCCCUUGUGUGUGGCUUUCAAACCUUGCAAAAACCGAU